GGACGAACGCUGGCGGCGUGCCUAACACAUGCAAGUGGAGCGACGAACCGGGGCUUGCCGGGCAGAGCCGCGAACGGGUGAGUACACGUGGGUGACCUGCCCCGAUGACUGGGACACCCGUCGAAAGAGGCAUAAUACCGGAUGUGCCCUUUGGGGGAAAGGAAGCUUCGGCCUCCGCAUCGGGAUGGGCCCGCGGCGCAUUAGCUUGUUGGUGGGGUAAUGGCUUACCAAGGCGACGAUGCGUAGCUGGUCUGAGAGGACGAUCAGCCACACUGGGACUGAGACACGGCCCAGACUCCUACGGGAGGCAGCAGUGGGAAUCUUGCACAAUGCGCGAAAGCGUGAUGCAGCAACGCCGCGUGCGGGAAGAAGGCCUUAGGGUUGUAAACCGCUUUCAGUUGGGACGAAGCUUCGGUCGUGAAUAGCGGUUUGGAGUGACGGUACCUUCAGAAGAAGCGCCGGCUAACUACGUGCCAGCAGCCGCGGUAAUACGUAGGCACGAGCGUUGUCCGGAAUCAUUGGGCGUAAGCGCGUGUAGGCGGCUGAGUAAGUCUGCUGUGAAAGUCCAGGGCUCAACCCUGGAAUGUCGGCGGAUACUGCUCAGCUGGAGUACGGGAGGGGCGAGUGGAAUUCCUGGUGUAGCGGUGGAAUGCGCAGAUAUCAGGAAGCAACACCCGUGGCGAAGGCGGUUCUCUGGGACGGUACUGACGCUGAGACGCGAAAGCGUGGGAGCAAACAGGAUU
rnacentral:rRNA from 1 species